CCAAUAUGACGAGAACCACCUAGAGACCAUGAAAAUGGCGAGCGAUCUACACCAGAAAUCACCAGCCAAACUCAAAACCAUCAGAGGAGAAACAUUAAAACCAAAAUAUAUCCUAUUAACUUAAUAGCUCCCAUAGAUUGCAUGCAUAGCCAUCAACACAGGAACUUCAAGCCACCAAAAGAAGAAACAGAAAGGAGUUAAAGAGCAUAGCAAGGGGAGAGAUAGUGCUCCUAG
rnacentral:lncRNA from 1 species